UACGAAGGGCCCGAGCGUUGAUCGGAAUCACUGGGCUUAAAGGGUGCGUAGGCGGGAGCGUAAGUGCUUUGUGAAAUCCCACGGCUCAACCGUGGAACUGCAGGGCAUACUGCGUUCCUUGAGGCUGGUAGGGGCUGUCGGAACUCUAGGUGUAGCGGUGAAAUGCGUAGAUAUCUAGAGGAACGCCAAUGGCGAAGGCAGACAGCUGGGCCAGUUCUGACGCUGAGGCACGAAAGCGUGGGGAGCAAACAGG
rnacentral:misc_RNA from 1 species